rnacentral:rRNA from 1 species
GACGAACGCUGGCGGCGUGGAUUAGGCAUGCAAGUCGAACGGUAUCAUCCUUUCGGGGGUGAGAGAGUGGCGAACUGGUGAGUAACACGUAGGUUAUCUACCCUCAAGACGGGGACAACCCAGGGAAACUUGGGCUAAUACCGGAUGUGAGCAACUUUUUAGUUGUUUGAAAGGUGGCGUAAGCUGUCGCUUGGGGAUGAGCCUGCGUCCUAUUAGUUAGUUGGUGAGGUAACGGCUCACCUAGGCAAUGAUAGGUAGGCGGCCUUAACGGGUGGUCGCCCACACUGGGAUUGAGAUACGGCCCAGACUCCUACGGGAGGCAGCAGUCGAGAAUAGUCUACAAUGGUCGGAAGACUGAUAGUGCGACGCCGCGUGAACGAUGAAUCCCUUCGGGGUGUAAAGUUCUUUUAUAUGUGAGCAGUGCUUCUUAUAUUAACAGUAUGGGGAGAGAGAUAUUAGCAUAUGAAUAAGCAACGGCUAACUCCGUGCCAGCAGCCGCGGUAA